rnacentral:rRNA from 1 species
GACGAACGCUGGCGGCGUGUCUUAGCCAUGCAAGUCGAGCGGACUUAUGGGGUAACUUAUAAGUCAGCGGCGGACGGCGGAGUAACACGUAGCUAACCUACCCUCUGGACGGGGAUAACCUACCGAAAGGUGGGCUAAUACCCGAUGUAGUCAUCCUGUAUAGGGGUGAUGAAAGGUGGGCUUCUGUUUACAAGCUCAUGCUGGAGGAGGGGGCUGCGGCCUAUCAGGUAGUUGGUAGGGUAAUAGCCUACCAAGCCGAUGACGGGUAGCCGGCCUGAGAGGGUGACCGGCCCGAGGGGCACUGAGAUACGGGUCCCACUCCUACGGGAGGCAGCAGGCUAGAAAUUUGGGCAAUGGGGGAAACCCUGACCCAGUGACGCCGCGUGCAGGAAGGAGCCCUUCGGGGUGUAAACUGCUGUCGUGUAGGGAGAAGGGUACUAAGGUGAACAAUCUUAGUACUUGACGGUACUACAGGAGGAAGCCCAGGCUAACCUCGUG